UGAAUUUGGAAGAAGGCGAGAAAAGCUGUGUGAAUAGAAGAUAGAGCCCGUACCGCAAACCGACACAGGUAGAUAGGAAGAAGAUUCUAAGGCCAACGGGAGAAGGGUUGUUAAGGAACUCGGCAAGUUGACCCCGUAACUUAGGGAGAAGGGGUGCUCUUUAAGGAGAGCCGCAGAGAAUAGGCCCAAGCGACUGUUUAGCAAAAACACAGCUCUAUGCUAAAUCGAAAGAUGACGUAUAUGGGGUGACACCUGCCCGGUGCCGGAAGGUUAAGAGGAGGAGUGAGAGCUCUGAAUUGAAGCCCCGGUAAACGGCGGCCGUAACGAUAACGGUCCUAAGGUAGCGAAAUUCCUUGUCAGGUAAGUUCUGACCCGCACGAAUGGUGUAACGAUUUGGGCACUGUCUCUACAACCUGCCCGGCGAAAUUGUAGUACCGGUGAGAUGCCGGUUACCCGCGACUAGACGGAAAGACCCCAUGGAGCUUUACUGCAGCUUAAUAUUGAAUUUCGGUAUUUCAUGUACAGGAUAGGUGGGAGACAGGGAACCAUAGGCGUCAGCUUAUGGGGAGUCGACCUUGGGAUACCACUCUUGAGGUGCUGGAAUUCUAACCUGUGGCUCUGAAUCGAGUCAGGGGACAUUGUUAGGCGGGCAGUUUGACUGGGGCGGUCGCCUCCAAAAAGGUAACGGAGGCGCUCAAAGGUUCGCUCAGCAUGGAUGGAAACCAUGCUUUUGAGUGUAAACGCAAAAGCGAGCCUAACUGCGAGACUGACGGGUCGAGCAGUAACGAAAGUUGGAGUUAGUGAUCCGGCGGUAUGUGAGUGGAAAUGCCGUCGCUCAACGGAUAAAAGCUACCCUGGGGAUAACAGGCUGAUCUCCCCCAAGAGUCCACAUCGACGGGGAGGUUUGGCACCUCGAUGUCGGCUCAUCGCAUCCUGGGGCUGAAUUCGGUCCCAAGGGUUUGGCUGUUCGCCAAUUAAAGCGGUACGCGAGCUGGGUUCAGAACGUCGUGAGACAGUUCGGUCCCUAUCUGUCGUGGGCGUAGGAUAUUUGAAAGGAGCUGUCCCUAGUACGAGAGGACCGGGAUGGACGCACCGCUGGUGCACCAGUUGUCAUGCCAAUGGCACAGCUGGGCAGCUAUGUGCGGAACGGAUAAACGCUGAAGGCAUCUAAGCGUGAAGCCGACCUUAAGAUAAGAUAUCCCUUCGUAAGAGUAAGACCUCUCAUAGACUAUGAGUUUGAUAGGCCUAAGGUGUAAGCACAUUGAUGUGUUCAGCCUGCAGGUACUAAUCGGUCGAGGGCUUUUCCU
rnacentral:rRNA from 1 species